GUCUGUACGCGCCCUCUCCAGGUCCUCUCGGCCCCACGCCCUUCUCCAUCUGGUCCUGGCUGCCUGAGCUUCCAGCCUCAGAAAAUCUCGGUUUCCUGUCCCAGGGCUUUCCCAGGACCGGAGAGGCAAAUGGCUUGACCCCUGACAAGCCCUGAGGGGCUGCCUAGGGUUGGCGGGCACACCCUGGCCAGAGUCCUUGUCUGAACACAGAAGUAGGGGGAGUGCCACCCAGCUAAGGAGAGCCGCAGGACUCAAUCUCAUGGGUAGGAGGGCCUGGCAUGUGGUUGCAUCGUUUACCACGCAGAGUAGGACGGCAGGCAGGGAUGGCCACUACUGUCCCACGGCCAGAACCUGAGGCAGAAGGAUGGCAGGAAGGGAGGGGACAGACCCGAUGCUGCUCACCUACCAGCUCACCCUUGACAGUCCAGUGCUCUUGGGAAUGGCUGAGAAUGGAGACGAAGGUGACUGCAGGAUUUGGGGGAGCCCUUGGAGCCUUCAGAGGCUGCUGGGAGAACACACUGCAGCUGAGUGUCCCCUGGAUGGCCUCACCUUGCAGCCAUCAACCCCUCCUGGCACUCUCGCUGGCUCCUGGCAGGCCUCAGCCCCGCAUUUCUGCGCAUGGCCAGGCCCAGCCCCCACCUGAAGUGGACCCUGGACGCUUUGUGAGGACCCUCUGACGCCAUCCAGCCCUCUGGAGCAAAGCCAGGAGCCCGGCCAGGAGCGGGCAGUUUGAGGGAGCUCAAAGGACUGUGGGGAAGGGCUCAGGGCAGGUGCUUCUGAGUGACUCCAGGGCGGAAUCAGGCCUGGGGCUGAGGAUCCUGGAGAGCCCGUCCCACACUGACGGCGUCCUCACCACUCAAGCUGCAAGAGACGGGAGGCAGGAUGCGGAAAGGGCGCCCCGUCACAGGGCUCUUCCCCUGGAGGCCUGUCUCUCAAAGCUACACCACACCGGCUUCUGCUCAGUAGACAGGGGGACUCCUACCCUGGGGAGUCCGCCCUGCUCCUCCAGAUUUAACGACUCCCAAAACGUCAUCUCUGCUGGGACAACUCCUGGGCUCUGUUCCAGCCAGCGGGAACCCAGGUCAUCUGACUCCCUUCCCAGGGCUCAUGCCUUUACCGCCUAGCGGGCCUGUGACUACACCAGAUGUGGCUGUGAGCCAGGCCCCGGAGAGGCUUGUGGAAGCCAGCUGCCAUGUCGUAAGCGCACUCAAGCAACCCCAUGGAGGAUUACAGGCGGCAAGGAACUGAGGCAUUUUGCCAACAGCCAGAACCAACUGGCCAGCAAUGCUGCAGUGCCUUCGAGCCUUUGUGUGAUCAUAAUUCCAUCGGACAUCCUGACUGCAACCUGAUGAGAGAACUUAAGCCAGAACUACCUGGCAAAGUCACUUGUGGAUUCCCAAUACACAGAAAGUCUGAGAUAGAUCAUUCAGGGACCGGGAUCCUUCCCCCCUGUGGCUCUGCCGACUCCAACAGGCGGUUUCGAAGGAGGCCUCAAACGAGAAAGAGAAAGGAAGGAUGAGGUAGGUGCAUCUGCUUCUUAACUAACUUGGGCUGGAAAAUACACAUCAUCCCUGAUCAACAUUCUAGUGGCAGGAACGAGUCAUCGACUCCUCGCAGAUGUCAGAGACCUAUGGGGAGGGGUCAUGUGGGGAAUUGUAGCCUCUGCUGGGAAGCCCCUCUAUUCUGUGGAAGGGCCAUACACUCUGCGUGUGCAUGUGUGAACAGUUAGCUCUCUCUACUACACACCCUUCACUUCCUUUGGCCACAGUAGUCUUGCAAGACUGCAACCCAGAUACGACAGGGCAACCUACCAUCCUUGGCUUCCACGUCCUAGAGAAAACCGCUAGGGGACAGGUCAGUGCCAGGGUGGAUUUCAGACCCCCAAAGCCACCAGGGCCCCUGUAUUUCUGGGCCUGGGUCAGAUUCUCUGCUUUUCCCAUAAAAGGUGUGGCAAACAUUCUCUCCCUAUCUUCAGCCCCCCCCCAUAAUCCCCCUCAUUCUCAGCAAGUGAGAAUUUUAGGCCCAAAGGGCAUCUUGCUCCCCGCUUCUUCCUGUUCUCUCUUCCAGGCCACACUCGUGUAAAUCUACCCAAGCCCGCAUUCUCUCCAGCUUCGCAUCCUGAACUGCCCCCAGGAUUUCAGACCUGUGUAUCCACCUGUGCCUGGAUGCUUCCGCCUGCAUGUGCACAGGCCCUUCACACUCAGCACGCCUCAAACUGAACUUGCCUUCAUCCGCCCGCCCCCCCAAAUUGGCUUCUCCCGUGGCGACAACCUAACCCCAAGCUUGUCCCUGCUGAAAACCUGAGGGUCAUCACGGUCUCGUUUCUCAGGUUAAAUACUGGCCAAGCCGUGUCUCGAAUCAGUUCCCGCCAUGCCCGUCCUCAGUUCAGGCCAUCACGUCCUGCUCAGACGCCCGCGGCUCCCUCCUAACAGGUCUUUGUGCCUCUAGUCUGUUCCCUCCAACCUGUCUCCACAGGCAGCCAGCGCGCCUGGCCUGCGGUCCCAGUGGGACCACGGCGCUCACUUUCUGAAGCGAGUAUGGGCUUCCCUCUGAGGCCCCCAAGUCCGCUCAUGACGGGCCCCACUACAGCAAGCCCCGGCUUCCCCUGACGUCCCAGCAACGCGAGGCUGUCCCGUGCACAUACUCUGAGGAUCCCUGCUGCCACCCUAGGGUCUGGGUGGGCGCCCCUCAUGCCACUAAAGAGGCCUUUAUUUUCCUCUUUCGGUGCCUGUCACACUCCUUGGUAAAGCUCUUCUUCUAAGUCUGCCUCCAAACACCACGAGAGCCGGGGUCAACUCUAUCUCACGCCCUCGGAGCCGAGGACCGCGCUCAGCACACACCAGGGACCCAAAACUUGUCCAGUGAGUGAAUGAAGAUGGCGGGAAGGACCGGGGGCAGGUGUGGAAAACCGUGAUCGAGAUGCACUUGCCUGACGCUCAGUGAACAUUCUUUCUCAGGACAGCCGAAGUGUGUGUGUGGGGGGGGUAUACAGGGUGUGUGUGCGUGUGCGUGUGUGUGAAAUCUGAUCCUUUGCUUGAGAGCCUCCCGUCAGUUAAUCUUGACAGGCCAUUUUGCACAAAACCUCUUCUCCAAAGCACUUUCUACAGCGGGGCUGAGCUCUCCGGUCCUGCCAAAGCUGUGGGCUCAGCUCCUACCACAUGACUGGCCUUGGCAGUAGCCUCAGACCCAUGCCUCCCACUUGACCUCCAUGGGGCCCUGGGAGACAAGCUAGAAAGAGCAUUGUUCCCCCCCCCAUUUUUUUGUCUUUUUUUGCUAUUUCUUGGGCUGCUCCUGUGGCAUAUGG